GGAAACGUGACCGAGAGGCCGAAGGUGCUCCCCUGCUAAGGGAGUAUGGGGUGUAGAGCCCCAUCGAGGGUUCGAAUCCCUCCGUUUCCGCCA
rnacentral:tRNA from 3 species